UAGGUCAUCGAAAGGAUCUCGGACGACUCACCAAAGCACGAAAGCCAGUUAGAAAAUGGAUUCCUAUUUGAAGAGUGCCUAACCGCAUGGAUAAGCUCACAUUAACCCGUCAAUUUUGGAUCCAAUUCGGGAUUUUUCUUGGGAAGUUUCGGGAAGAAAUUGGAAUGGAAUAAUAUCGAUUCAUACAGAGGAAAAAGUUCUCUAUUGAUGCAAACGCUGUACCUAGAGGAUAGGGAU
rnacentral:misc_RNA from 1 species